rnacentral:rRNA from 1 species
GACGAACGCUGGCGGCGUGCCUAAUACAUGCAAGUAGAACGCUGAAGGAGGAGCUUGCUUCUCUGGAUGAGUUGCGAACGGGUGAGUAACGCGUAGGUAACCUGCCUGGUAGCGGGGGAUAACUAUUGGAAACGAUAGCUAAUACCGCAUAAGAGUAGAUGUUGCAUGACAUUUGCUUAAAAGGUGCAAUUGCAUCACUACCAGAUGGACCUGCGUUGUAUUAGCUAGUUGGUGAGGUAACGGCUCACCAAGGCGACGAUACAUAGCCGACCUGAGAGGGUGAUCGGCCACACUGGGACUGAGACACGGCCCAGACUCCUACGGGAGGCAGCAGUAGGGAAUCUUCGGCAAUGGGGGGAACCCUGACCGAGCAACGCCGCGUGAGUGAAGAAGGUUUUCGGAUCGUAAAGCUCUGUUGUAAGAGAAGAACGGGUGUGAGAGUGGAAAGUUCACA